GGCCAGGCGAGCGAGGAGGGAGCGGAGCUUUAGGAAGAAGAGUAAAUAUGGAUGCAAUUUAUCACCCGAGAGCCGGGCUAUCAGAGACCAACGCGUCAGUUAAAUAAAACAGACCCCGAGACCCGCCAGCAGGAUUGACCCCGAAGGAAUUCGCCAAUUUGCUCAUCAGCGAUGGGAGCCUGUGAACCCAUUAGCAGCAGGAAUGUGGUGUCACGUGGGACCCGCGCAGGAGCCGCAGAAACCGAGAGAAACGUCCAGAGAGACCUCGACAGGCGAUCGCAUGGGGGCUGAAAGCUGAUCAGCGCAGGCUGCUGGUAACUUCCCCGACAAGCCUUGAUGGAAAACUGCGGAGCCCCGAGACGCUGCGGGUUCCAGAACCUCGGCCCUCCUCCGUCUGCAUCCCAGCGCGUUCUAGCACCCGGGUGACAACGCAUCCUACUGUCUGUACUCGAAAGUCACGUCGUUCCACCACUGCAGCCGUCUGCCCGGCUGCCGAGAGCUCGUAUAUAAAUAUCCGUGCGUGUGCGUUUGUGUGUACAUUUCUUGACAUAUUUACGGAGUCUCCGCUUGCCAACCUUGGGGGCAUAAUGCAGGAACCAUCUUUCAUCCUAAUCUGCUGUAAUGACAUGUUUUAUUA